rnacentral:rRNA from 1 species
CCAGACUCCUACGGGAGGCAGCAGUGGGGAAUAUUGCACAAUGGGGGAAACCCUGAUGCAGCGACGCCGCGUGAGCGAUGAAGUAUUUCGGUAUGUAAAGCUCUAUCAGCAGGGAAGAAAAUGACGGUACCUGACUAAGAAGCCCCGGCUAACUACGUGCCAGCAGCCGCGGUAAUACGUAGGGGGCAAGCGUUAUCCGGAUUUACUGGGUGUAAAGGGAGCGUAGACGGUACUGCAAGUCAGGUGUGAAAGGCCGGGGCUCAACCCCGGGACUGCAUUUGGAACUGUAAGGCUAGAGUGUAGGAGAGGCAGGCGGAAUUCCUAGUGUAGCGGUGAAAUGCGUAGAUAUUAGGAGGAACACCAGUGGCGAAGGCGGAUUGCUGGACAGUAACUGACGCUGAGGCGCGAAAGCGUGGGGAGCAAACAGGAUUAGAUACCCGUGUA